CAUUAGGGCAGCCAUAUAAUGCAGUCGAGCGAACAGACGAGGAGCUUGCUCCUCUGACGUUAGCGGCGGACGGGUGAGUAACACGUGGAUAACCUACCUAUAAGACUGGGAUAACUUCGGGAAACCGGAGCUAAUACCGGAUAAUAUAUUGAACCGCAUGGUUCAAUAGUGAAAGACGGUUUUGCUGUCACUUAUAGAUGGAUCCGCGCCGCAUUAGCUAGUUGGUAAGGUAACGGCUUACCAAGGCAACGAUGCGUAGCCGACCUGAGAGGGUGAUCGGCCACACUGGAACUGAGACACGGUCCAGACUCCUACGGGAGGCAGCAGUAGGGAAUCUUCCGCAAUGGGCGAAAGCCUGACGGAGCAACGCCGCGUGAGUGAUGAAGGUCUUCGGAUCGUAAAACUCUGUUAUUAGGGAAGAACAAAUGUGUAAGUAACUAUGCACGUCUUGACGGUACCUAAUCAGAAAGCCACGGCUAACUACGUGCCAGCAGCCGCGGUAAUACGUAGGUGGCAAGCGUUAUCCGGAAUUAUUGGGGCGUAAAGCGCGCGUAGGCGGUUUUUUAAAGUCUGAUGUGAAAAGCCCACGGCUCAACCGUGGAGGGUCAUUGGAAACUGCAAAACUUGAUUGCAGAAAG
rnacentral:rRNA from 1 species